rnacentral:rRNA from 1 species
UACGUAGGUGACCAGCGUUGUCCGGAUUUACUGGGCGUAAAGAGCGCGCAGGCGGUCGUUCAAGUCGAGUGUGAAAGCCCCCGGCUCAACUGGGGAGGGUCACUCGAUACUGAUCGACUUGAAGGCAGGAGAGGGAAGCGGAAUUCCCGGUGUAGUGGUGAAAUUCGUAGAUAUUGGGAAGAACACCGGUGGCGAAGGCGGCGACCUGGUCCUUGACUGACGCUGAGGCGCGAAAGCGUGGGGAGCGAACAGG